CCUACGGGUGGCAGCAGUGAGGAAUAUUGGUCAAUGGACGAGAGUCUGAACCAGCCAAGUAGCGUGAAGGAUGACUGCCCUAUGGGUUGUAAACUUCUUUUAUAAAGGAAUAAAACGAGGCACGUGUGCCUUUUUGCAUGUACUUUAUGAAUAAGGAUCGGCUAACUCCGUGCCAGCAGCCGCGGUAAUACGGAGGAUCCGAGCGUUAUCCGGAUUUAUUGGGUUUAAAGGGAGCGUAGAUGGGUUGUUAAGUCAGUUGUGAAAUUUUGCGGCUCAACCGUAAAAUUGCAAUUGAUACUGGCAGUCUUGAGUACAGUUGAGGUAGGCGGAAUUCGUGGUGUAGCGGUGAAAUGCUGAGAUAUCACGAAGAAUCCCGAUUGCGAAGGCAGCUUACUAAACUGUGACUGACAUUGAUGCUCGAAAGUGUGGGUAUCAAACAGGAGUAGAUACCCUAGUAGUC
rnacentral:rRNA from 1 species